AUUGAACGCUGGCGGCAUGCUUUACACGUGCAAGUCGAACGGCAGCGCGGGCUUCGGCCUGGCGGCGAGUGGCGAACGGGUGAGUAAUACAUCGGAACGUGCCCGGUAGUGGGGGAUAGCUCGGCGAAAGCCGGAUUAAUACCGCAUACGACCUGAGGGUGAAAGCGGGGGAUCUUCGGACCUCGCGCUAUUGGAGCGGCCGAUGGCAGAUUAGCUAGUUGGUGGGGUAAAGGCCUACCAAGGCGACGAUCUGUAGCUGGUCUGAGAGGACGACCAGCCACACUGGGACUGAGACACGGCCCAGACUCCUACGGGAGGCAGCAGUGGGGAAUUUUGGACAAUGGGCGAAAGCCUGAUCCAGCAAUGCCGCGUGUGUGAUGAAGGCCUUCGGGUUGUAAAGCACUUUUGGCGGGAACGAAAAGGACUGUGCCAAUACCACGGUUCGAUGACGGUACCCGCAGAAUAAGCACCGGCUAACUACGUG
rnacentral:rRNA from 1 species